rnacentral:rRNA from 1 species
UUUAGAGGAAGGAGAAGUCGUAACAAGGUUUCCGUAGGUGRACCUGCGGAAGGAUCAUUGUCGAAAUCGAACGUAAGAACGACCCGCGAACAGUCUUUGCGUAACGAACCGAGCUCGCGAGCACCUAACGCUCGCGCGUCUCGCGUCGCGUCGGCGCGGGCCUCCUCGAGAGGGCCGCGCCGCACCGACAAACUAACAAUGUCAGCACGGAUCGUGCCAAGGAGCUGUAUAGGCGAGAAUCGCCGUCCCACGCCCCCGGUCCCCCUCGACGGGGGGCGGGGGACAUGCGCGAUCUCUGCUCUUAGUCUUAAUGACUCUCGGCAACGGAUAUCUCGGCUCUUGCAUCGAUGAAGAACGUAGCGAAAUGCGAUACUUGGUGUGAAUUGCAGAAUCCCGCGAACCAUCAAUUCUUUGAACGCAAGUUGCGCCCGAAGCCAUUCGGCCGAGGGCACGCCUGCCUGGGUGUCGUGAAUCCCCUUGCCCCCGGGCACCCGCACGAGCAUCGUCGCGGAUAUGUCCGGGCGCAGAAUAUGGUCUCCCGUCGGGUCGGCGUGCGCGGCACGUCGCGGGGCGGUUGGCCGAAAAUCGAGCAUUGCGGCGUCGGGCCCCACGGCGUUCGGUGGAUCGAACGCGAUUGGCUGCGCCGUGGUCCCGUCAUAUGCCGCGGUCUCCGGGCUACGACGACUCCCGAGUGCGAUCCCAGGUCAGGCGGGGCUACCCGCUGAGUUUAAGCAUAUCAAUAAGCGGAGGAAAAGAAACUAACGAGGAUUCCCUUAGUAGCGGCGAGCGAACCGGGACGUGCCCAGCGUGAAAAUCGUCCGCCUUCGGCGGCCGAAUUGUAGUCUGGAGAAGCGUCCUCAGUGACGGACCGGGCCCAAGUUCACUGGAAGGUGGCGCCGGAGAGGGUGAGAGCCCCGUCGUGCCCGGACCCUG